ACGUCCGAGACCCGGAGCAGCCACCGCCGCAAUCAUGACUUCGGGGACCUGUUUUUUAGAGAGUCUAGAAUUUGAUGAGAGAACCUGUGCUUACUUGGUGUGUACCUCUUGAACUGCUUUGCAGCCAUCCUCUUCCAGUGUCUGCCUUUCUGAAAACACAAGUCAAACUUUAUACCUACAGGGCUUGUGCUGGAAAAGAUGAAAUGGGGAAAAUGGUGUCAGUAAUUAACACUGUGGAUACCUCCCAUGAGGACAUGAUUCACGACGCACAGAUGGACUACUAUGGCACCCGCCUGGCAACCUGCUCAUCAGACAGGUCCGUCAAAAUCUUUGAUGUGCGCAAUGGAGGGCAGAUCCUUAUCGCCGACCUCAGGGGGUAAGUGCUGGUGAGCCCAGGGAAGGGUUCCAGGAAUGGUGUGGGUUCUCAGGCCCUGCUUCAAGCGUGGGAGCAAAGCAUGGGAGCCCAGAUUCAGAGCAACCCCAAAGCACAUUUAGCGGAGAGGACGCUGGGAUCCCAGCCAGCCUGGCUGGCCUCAGCGGAUGUCACCAGGGAUU
rnacentral:sRNA from 1 species